GGAGAGAUGCCGGAGCGGUCGAACGGGGCGGUCUCGAAAACCGUUGGACCUCUAGGGGUCCCGGGGGUUCGAAUCCCUCUCUCUCCGCCA
rnacentral:tRNA from 1 species